rnacentral:rRNA from 1 species
UACGGAGGGUGCGAGCGUUGUUCGGAAUCACUGGGCGUAAAGGGCGUGUAGGCGGUCCGCUAAGUCUGAUGUGAAAGCCCGGGGCUCACCCCCGGAAGGGCAUUGGAAACUGACGGACUCGAGUCCCGAAGAGGAGGGUGGAAUUCCUGGUGUAGCGGUGAAAUGCGUAGAUAUCUGGAGGAACACCGGUGGCGAAGGCGGCAUCCUGGACCGGCAUUGACGCUGAGGCGCGAAAGCCAGGGGAGCAAACGGG